UACGUAGGGGGCAAGCGUUGUCCGGAUUUAUUGGGCGUAAAGAGCGUGUAGGCGGUCUGGUAGGUCCGUUGUGAAAACUCGAGGCUCAACCUCGAGACGCCGAUGGAAACCAUCAGACUAGAGUCCGGAAGAGGAGAGUGGAAUUCCUGGUGUAGCGGUGAAAUGCGCAGAUAUCAGGAAGAACACCCGUGGCGAAGGCGGCUCUCUAGUACGGUACUGACGCUGAGACGCGAAAGCGUGGGGAGCGAACAGG
rnacentral:rRNA from 1 species